UAGCCCUACGGAAUGCUCAGGUCCGCCGCAUCUCCUGGGUCCGUGGGGUUCGGUCGGCCGAAGCGCGGUUUGAGUGGCCUCCUCGUUAGCGCCGCGUUUCGGUCGACCACCAA
rnacentral:sRNA from 1 species